rnacentral:misc_RNA from 1 species
UGCUCCCAGGGGAGAAUAAGCUGUUACAACUAUACCUUUGGCCUUGCGGAGUUCUCUGAGUUUCCUUUAUAGCCAGACAGGGCUCAUCUCCACCUGAAUAAUUCAUCAUCUCUGGGUUUUCAGUACUGCAUAACACACACACAUCAACAAUUUGCAUGCACAAAGGUUGCUGUGAAGAGAUGAGAGGAACCUUCUGAGCUUUCUUGCUUCAAUUUACACAAAAUACCCUCAUGCUCUUGCGCUCAAGUACAAUGGUAGAGGAGCAAGUGUACUAUACAAGUUCACAUCAUUUAUCAAGAUAAAGCUCUGGAGUUCAAUUUACAAUUUAUUUAAUAUGAGGUUAAAUCUCCCCAUCCCAUAGCUCUUCAAG